UACGUAGGGUGCAAGCGUUAAUCGGAAUUACUGGGCGUAAAGCGUGCGCAGGCGGUUUUGUAAGUCUGUCGUGAAAGCCCCGGGCUCAACCUGGGAAUUGCGAUGGAGACUGCAAGGCUUGAAUCUGGCAGAGGGGGGUAGAAUUCCACGUGUAGCAGUGAAAUGCGUAGAGAUGUGGAGGAACACCGAUGGCGAAGGCAGCCCCCUGGGUCAAGAUUGACGCUCAUGCACGAAAGCGUGGGGAGCAAACAGGAUUAGA
rnacentral:rRNA from 1 species